UGCUUCUCUGAUGUUAGCGGCGGACGGGUGAGUAACACGUGGAUAACCUACCUAUAAGACUGGGAUAACUUCGGGAAACCGGAGCUAAUACCGGAUAAUAUUUUGAACCGCAUGGUUCAAAAGUGAAAGACGGUCUUGCUGUCACUUAUAGAUGGAUCCGCGCUGCAUUAGCUAGUUGGUAAGGUAACGGCUUACCAAGGCAACGAUGCAUAGCCGACCUGAGAGGGUGAUCGGCCACACUGGAACUGAGACACGGUCCAGACUCCUACGGGAGGCAGCAGUAGGGAAUCUUCCGCAAUGGGCGAAAGCCUGACGGAGCAACGCCGCGUGAGUGAUGAAGGUCUUCGGAUCGUAAAACUCUGUUAUUAGGGAAGAACAUAUGUGUAAGUAACUGUGCACAUCUUGACGGUACCUAAUCAGAAAGCCACGGCUAACUACGUGCCAGCAGCCGCGGUAAUACGUAGGUGGCAAGCGUUAUCCGGAAUUAUUGGGCGUAAAGCGCGCGUAGGCGGUUUUUUAAGUCUGAUGUGAAAGCCCACGGCUCAACCGUGGAGGGUCAUUGGAAACUGGAAAACUUGAGUGCAGAAGAGGAAAGUGGAAUUCCAUGUGUAGCGGUGAAAUGCGCAGAGAUAUGGAGGAACACCAGUGGCGAAGGCGACUUUCUGGUCUGUAACUGACGCUGAUGUGCGAAAGCGUGGGGAUCAAACAGGAUUAGAUACCCUGGUAGUCCACGCCGUAAACGAUGAGUGCUAAGUGUUAAGGGGGUUUCCGCCCCUUAGUGCUGCAGCUAACGCAUUAAGCACUCCGCCUGGGGAGUACGACCGCAAGGUUGAAACUCAAAGGAAUUGA
rnacentral:rRNA from 1 species